rnacentral:rRNA from 1 species
AUUGAACGCUGGCGGCAGGCCUAACACAUGCAAGUCGAGCGAGCGGCGGACGGGUAAGUAAUGUAUGGGGACUGCCCGAUAGAGGGGGAUAACUACUGGAAACGGUGGCUAAUACCGCAUACUGUCGGAUAACCCAUAUGGGAUUAGCGAGUAGGUAAGGUAAUGGCUUACCUAGGCGACGAUCCCUAGCUGGUCUGAGAGGAUGUUCAGCCACACGGCGUGUGAGACACGGCCCAGUCUCCUAGGGAGUGAGCAGAGGGGAAUAGUGGACAAUGGGCGCAAGCCUGAUGCAGUCAGGCCCCGUGUAUGAAGAAGGCCCUAGGGUUGUAAAUUACUUUCAUUCGGGAGGCGUUACAGAUAGAAGAAGCACCGGCUAACUCCGUGCCAGCAGCCGCGGUAAUAC